CCGAGUCUCGAGGGGGCGACCCCUCGCACGCUCUCACACACACACCUGUGCACCUGUCGCGGGGUCUCCAAGGGAAGGCGGGGGGGGACCCUGCGACUUUGUCGGACGCGCAUCGGCUUGUGCCGUGCCUUUUUCGCGGCCUUUCGGACGUGGGCUCCGGGGCUCGAUGGGAAUGGGGGAAAAAUGGGAAACCUUAUA
rnacentral:misc_RNA from 1 species